rnacentral:rRNA from 1 species
AUUGAACGCUGGCGGCAUGCUUUACACAUGCAAGUCGAACGGCAGCGCGGGCUUCGGCCUGGCGGCGAGUGGCGAACGGGUGAGUAAUGCAUCGGAACGUGCCCAGUAGUGGGGGAUAGCCCGGCGAAAGCCGGAUUAAUACCGCCUACGACCUGAGGGUGAAAGCGGGGGACCGAAAGGCCUCGCGCUAUUGGAGCGGCCGAUGUCGGAUUAGCUAGUUGGUGGGGUAAAGGCUUACCAAGGCGACGAUCCGUAGCUGGUCUGAGAGGACGACCAGCCACACUGGGACUGAGACACGGCCCAGACUCCUACGGGAGGCAGCAGUGGGGAAGUUUGGACAAUGGGGGCAACCCUGAUCCAGCCAUGCCGCGUGCGGGAAGAAGGCCUUCGGGUUGUAAACCGCUUUUGUUCGGGAAGAAAUCCUCUGGGCUAAUACCCCGGGGGGAUGACGGUACCGGAAGAAUAAGCACCGGCUAACUACGUG